rnacentral:rRNA from 1 species
GAUGAACGCUGGCGGCGUGCCUAAUACAUGCAAGUCGAGCGAAUGGAUUAAGAGCUUGCUCUUAUGAAGUUAGCGGCGGACGGGUGAGUAACACGUGGGUAACCUGCCCAUAAGACUGGGAUAACUCCGGGAAACCGGGGCUAAUACCGGAUAACAUUUUGAACCGCAUGGUUCGAAAUUGAAAGGCGGCUUCGGCUGUCACUUAUGGAUGGACCCGCGUCGCAUUAGCUAGUUGGUGAGGUAACGGCUCACCAAGGCAACGAUGCGUAGCCGACCUGAGAGGGUGAUCGGCCACACUGGGACCGAGACACGGCCCAGACUCCUACGGGAGGCAGCAGUAGGGAAUCUUCCGCAAUGGACGAAAGUCUGACGGAGCAACGCCGCGUGUGUGAUGAAGGCUUUCGGGUCGUAAAACUCUGUUGUUAGGGAAGAACAAGUGCUAGUUGAAUAAGCUGGCACCUUGACGGUACCUAACCAGAAAGCCACGGCCAACUACGUGCCAGCCGCCGCCGUAA